rnacentral:rRNA from 1 species
UACGUAGGCAGCAAGCGUUGUUCGGAAUUACUGGGCGUAAAGCGUGCGCAGGCGGUUCGUUGUGUCCGUCGUGAAAGCCCCGGGCCUAACCUGGGAACUGCGAUGGAAACUAGCGAGCUGGAGUGUGGCAGAGGGGGGUGGAAUUCCGCGUGUAGCAGUGAAAUGCGUAGAGAUGCGGAGGAACACCGAUGGCGAAGGCAGCCCCCUGGGCUAACACUGACGCUCAGGCACGAAAGCGUGGGGAGCAAACAGG